AUACUUACCUGGUAGGGGAGACACUAUGAUCAUGAAGGUGGUUUACCCAGGUCGAGGCUAGGCCAUUGCGCUUCGGCUGUGCUGAUCCCUGCGAAUUCCCCAAAUGUGGGAAUCUCGACUGCAUAAUUUCUGGUAGUGAGGGACUGCGUCCGCGCUCUCCCCUG